rnacentral:rRNA from 1 species
CUACGGGGGGCAGCAGUGGGGAAUAUUGGACAAUGGGGGAAACCCUGAUCCAGCAAUGCCGCGUGUGUGAAGAAGGCCCGCGGGUUGUAAAGCACUUUCGGUUGGGAGGACUGCUUCUAGCACUAAUAUUGUUGGAAGUUGACGUUACCUUCAGAAGAAGCACCGGCUAACUCCGUGCCAGCAGCCGCGGUAAUACGGAGGGUGCAGGCGUUAAUCGAAUUACUGGGCGUAAAGCGCGCGUAGGCGGCUAGAUCAGUCGGGUGUGAAAGCCCCGGGCUUAACCUGGGAACUGCAUCCGAUACUGUCUAGCUUGAGUACAGGAGAGGAGAGUGGAAUUCCACAUGUAGCGGUGAAAUGCGUAGAUAUGUGGAGGAACACCAAUGGCGAAGGCAGCUCUCUGGCCUGAUACUGACGCUGAGGUGCGAAAGCGUGGGGAGCAAACAGGAUUAGAUACCCCAGUAGUC